rnacentral:rRNA from 1 species
CGGGACACGUGGUAUCCUGUCUGAAUAUGGGGGGACCAUCCUCCAAGGCUAAAUACUCCUGACUGACCGAUAGUGAACCAGUACCGUGAGGGAAAGGCGAAAAGAACCCCGGCGAGGGGAGUGAAAAAGAACCUGAAACCGUGUACGUACAAGCAGUGGGAGCACGCUUAGGCGUGUGACUGCGUACCUUUUGUAUAAUGGGUCAGCGACUUAUAUUCUGUAGCAAGGUUAACCGAAUAGGGGAGCCGAAGGGAAACCGAGUCUUAACUGGGCGUUAAGUUGCAGGGUAUAGACCCGAAACCCGGUGAUCUAGCCAUGGGCAGGUUGAAGGUUGGGUAACACUAACUGGAGGACCGAACCGACUAAUGUUGAAAAAUUAGCGGAUGACUUGUGGCUGGGGGUGAAAGGCCAAUCAAACCGGGAGAUAGCUGGUUCUCCCCGAAAGCUAUUUAGGUAGCGCCUCGUGAAUUCAUCUCCGGGGGUAGAGCACUGUUUCGGCAAGGGGGUCAUCCCGACUUACCAACCCGAUGCAAACUGCGAAUACCGGAGAAUGUUAUCACGGGAGACACACGGCGGGUGCUAACGUCCGUCGUGAAGAGGGAAACAACCCAGACCGCCAGCUAAGGUCCCAAAGUCAUGGUUAAGUGGGAAACGAUGUGGGAAGGCCCAGACAGCCAGGAUGUUGGCUUAGAAGCAGCCAUCAUUUAAAGAAAGCGUAAUAGCUCACUGGUCGAGUCGGCCUGCGCGGAAGAUGUAACGGGGCUAAACCAUGCACCGAAGCUGCGGCAGCGACGCUGAUGCGUUGUUGGGUAGGGGAGCGUUCUGUAAGCCUGUGAAGGUGUGCUGUGAGGCAUGCUGGAGGUAUCAGAAGUGCGAAUGCUGACAUAAGUAACGAUAAAGCGGGUGAAAAGCCCGCUCGCCGGAAGACCAAGGGUUCCUGUCCAACGUUAAUCGGGGCAGGGUGAGUCGACCCCUAAGGCGAGGCCGAAAGGCGUAGUCGAUGGGAAACAGGUUAAUAUUCCUGUACUUGGUGUUACUGCGAAGGGGGGACGGAGAAGGCUAUGUUGGCCGGGCGACGGUUGUCCCGGUUUAAGCGUGUAGGCUGGUUUUCCAGGCAAAUCCGGAAAAUCAAGGCUGAGGCGUGAUGACGAGGCACUACGGUGCUGAAGCAACAAAUGCCCUGCUUCCAGGAAAAGCCUCUAAGCAUCAGGUAACAUCAAAUCGUACCCCAAACCGACACAGGUGGUCAGGUAGAGAAUACCAAGGCGCUUGAGAGAACUCGGGUGAAGGAACUAGGCAAAAUGGUGCCGUAACUUCGGGAGAAGGCACGCUGAUAUGUAGGUGAAGCGACUUGCUCGUGGAGCUGAAAUCAGUCGAAGAUACCAGCUGGCUGCAACUGUUUAUUAAAAACACAGCACUGUGCAAACACGAAAGUGGACGUAUACGGUGUGACGCCUGCCCGGUGCCGGAAGGUUAAUUGAUGGGGUCAGCGCAAGCGAAGCUCUUGAUCGAAGCCCCGGUAAACGGCGGCCGUAACUAUAACGGUCCUAAGGUAGCGAAAUUCCUUGUCGGGUAAGUUCCGACCUGCACGAAUGGCGUAAUGAUGGCCAGGCUGUCUCCACCCGAGACUCAGUGAAAUUGAACUCGCUGUGAAGAUGCAGUGUACCCGCGGCAAGACGGAAAGACCCCGUGAACCUUUACUAUAGCUUGACACUGAACAUUGAGCCUUGAUGUGUAGGAUAGGUGGGAGGCUUUGAAGUGUGGACGCCAGUCUGCAUGGAGCCGGCCUUGAAAUACCACCCUUUAAUGUUUGAUGUUCUAACGUUGACCCGUGAUCCGGGUUGCGGACAGUGUCUGGUGGGUAGUUUGACUGGGGCGGUCUCCUCCUAAAGAGUAACGGAGGAGCACGAAGGUUGGCUAAUCCUGGUCGGACAUCAGGAGGUUAGUGCAAUGGCAUAAGCCAGCUUGACUGCGAGCGUGACGGCGCGAGCAGGUGCGAAAGCAGGUCAUAGUGAUCCGGUGGUUCUGAAUGGAAGGGCCAUCGCUCAACGGAUAAAAGGUACUCCGG